rnacentral:rRNA from 1 species
CUUCGUAAGACUACCCGCUGAACUUAAGCAUAUCAAUAAGCGGAGGAAAAGAAACCAACAGGGAUUGCCUCAGUAACGGCGAGUGAAGCGGCAAAAGCUCAAAUUUGAAAUCCUUCGGGAAUUGUAUUUUGAAGGUGGGUUUGGUUAGGAAAAGUUACUUUAAGUCCAUUGGAAAAUGGCGCCAUGGAGGGUGAUAGCCCCGUAAAAGUACCCCUUUUCCUUUUAUCCAUUCCCUCCAAAGAGUCGAGUUGUUUGGGAAUGCAGCUCUAAGUGGGUGGUAAAUUCCAUCUAAAGCUAAAUAUUGGCGAGAGACCGAUAGCGAACAAGUCCAGUGAUGGAAAGAUGAAAAGCACUUUGAAAAGAGAGUGAAAAAGUACGUGAAAUUGUUGAAAGGGAAGGGCUUGCAAGCAGACACAACCUCGGUUGGGCCAGCAUCGGAGUGGGGGGAGACAAAAAAGAAAAGGAAUGUAACUCUUUCGAGUAUUAUAGCCUUUUCUCAUAUCUCCACCCCCUUCCGAGGCCUGCGAUC